UAAUUGUAAUAUAUUUGUAUUCAUGUCAUUGGGUGAGUCUUUAUCACCAUACAGUAAUGGCUCAAUUAAAACAUUGCUUGAAGGAUCGGUAUAUACAAAUGGUCGCAGUAGUGCAAAUUCUCCAGCGAGAAGAUCAUUUAGUUCCUCGUCAGAAAAGGGGCAGUGCAAAAAAAGUGCUCAGUAUCCUCAAUGCCAUCAAUUGUUCAUCACAUAGGGUUAAUUGUAUCCGUAAAAUUGUGUUUGAAUUUGUGACAGUUUAGUUUUUUGAGACCAACCCUGAGUGGUGUAAUAUAGGAUUUUCCUAAUGUUUCGUAGAUGCCAAAAAUGGCGUGUAUUCUGAUAUAAAAUGAAUCCGGAUAAAUGUGAACCGGGACUCGAGUCUCCUAUAAUCUUUUCUACGUUUAUAUUUCAUUUCAAUGUUAUCUGAAACUUAAUUUCACGAUGGGCUGUUGAGCUUUAACUUACUCGCUUGAGUUUGUUAUUGUUCGCAAUUUCUUAUGGUCUAUUGUGCCACACUUUCUCGUGUAUUUUGUAGCCGCUCUACUUGUUUAUGUGCAAUGCUGGGCAGUCGUUUGGCCUCAUGAGGAUCUGAUUUGUUUAACUAGGGUAAGAAGGUGUUUUGAUGGUCGCGUUUUCAUUUCCUUGGUUAAUCUAAGAGUAUUCAAGGUAUUGGCAUAACCUGCAAAUUUGAUGUUUAUUUUGUUCGUGACGACUGAGUGAGAGCUAGCUAUCAGAUGAAUCAAAUGGUGACUCUCCAGAGAUGUACAUCCUCUACCAGAAACUGUUGAUUUUCCUGGAAAGCACUGAAAAUAUCCUCGAUCCUUGUGUUGCCUGCAAAGACUAAGACUUCGAUGUGACGGAGGCAUUCCUCAAAAUCAUUAAAAAUAUCAAAAAAGGACGAGUCCCAGAAUUGAGCCCUGUGGAACUCCAAUGAAUCCAAGAGAAAAUCAUGACCAACGUUUUAACAGAACAAUAAUUUUGUAAAUGAAAUUUGUCUGGAAAAUUUCCUGAGAAGACAUACUGAAAAGCACAAUGGAAAUUUCCCCUACAAGGCAGGUUCGCACAAUCUUAAGCACAGCCAAACAAGGGAUUUUCAAAAACGUGCUUGAAAUCGCUUUUUGUCCUUUUUCUUCAAUUUGUACUUGGAUUACCGAGCCUGUUAUAGUUUAGUUUGUCCUUCAGAACGCAUUAGAAAUGUAGUGCCAAAUGACGGGAGUAUUAGGAUAAGUGGAAGAAUUAAAAGAGCUUGAAGGUGCGCACACAUAAAAUGUUCACAUAUCACAUAUCAUACUUGUGAAAUUACUACAUAAUGGCUGAGCAUAAAUAAUUCAAAAGCAGCGCUAUCUUUAAAGAACCAGCAAUCUCAAGUUGACAUGAAGAUAGCAUUCUAAUUCGCAAUUAGAAUAAUUUACCAAUCGGCGACUUGUUUAAACUUUUUGGUUGAAAUUAGUUGAAGUUAGUUGAAAUUUCCAGGGAAUUCUUGUUUACUUCUUUAAUAAUCAAUUAGAGACAGCUGGCGUUAGGACAAUAAAUAAUAAAUUUGCUGGCUUUGAUGUGUAUACAGCAAGAAGGUAUUUUGCAAACAGAUGUUAUAAAAGGGAACAUAACUAAACAAGGUGGAGUAAAACAUAUGCUAUCCAGUGCUGUAUUGAAAACGAUUACAAUCUAAUAGCUGGUGAAUGUGUCUUCCUUGUGGCAUGCAUUGAUUUACCUUAACUGUAACUAGACAGUACUAAGAAUUCGCAGUAAACAAGGGACAGCCAGUAUGCAGCCAAAUGCUGAGGUCACUCGAAGAAUUGAACAAACACAGCGUGACAGCAGCUCCAGACUUUCGCCAUUGACUCAACCAGCAUUUAAUCACUGAUAACAGUACAACUCCAUCUUCCACAAUAGGGGACAAGAAUCAGAGACAUACAGCACAGUGGAGUCUCUUUGUAAGACAAUGUACGAAACGCAUAUCCAUGCACUAACGGUACUAUGCCUGAUUGGCACUGUCUUGAAUGCUCUUGAAAUAAUUCUAAUAUGCAAAGGAGGCAAACUCAAAAUGCCUUUUCAAAUGACGCUCUUGAGCUUAGCUAUAGCUGAUUUGUUAGCAUGCCUGUCCGCUCCAAUCUGCAACACAAUUUAUCUGUUAGUUAAAGAAGAAAACAGAAAAGAACUUUCUGUGGCAUAUGAAGCCACAGUCGUCUUUAGUACAAUAUCAAGCCAAAUGCACGUAAUAUUUAUAACAAUCCAGCGACUAAUUGCUGUAGUGCUUCCUUUCAGCUGUAAACGAAUUUUGACGUCAUUUCGCUGCAGUCUGGUACUGGCAUUGAUUUGGACUAUAUCAUUAGCUAUAAUUGGUGCAUUUCAACAUUUAUUUCUCGGUAUUAUUUUCAUGACAAUUGCUACUGCAAUUUUAAUUGCCUUAUCAUAUGCCUUGAUAAUUUAUCGCAUUCGAAAUCGUCCCGUCGUGGCUGCUUCCGAUACUGACAGAUCAAAUGGGUCAACAUCUGUAGUCAUAUAUUCCGGAAUUCUCUUCGUCCUUUUUGUUACUUGCUAUUUUCCAUAUGUUUUCAAUUACAUUAUUUACAGCAUGAUCAAGAAAACCCAUGAAACUCCUGUGGCAUUAUUUUAUUUGUUCUGGCUCAAUUCGGUAACAAAUCCGUUAGUAUAUUUUUUAUUCAAAGUGUAUAAAGGUAGAGAUCUCAAGUGCUUUAGUAGAAAACAGACAGUAGUAACGGAGCAAGAGCCUUGUCCACCGUAAAAUUAAAUGCAAAUCUAUUCUUUUCUGUAUAUUCCAGAUAUGUAUAGAAAUAUUAAAUGCUCAUUCUGUAAGGUUAUCUAUUUCUUGAUGUCAUGAAAGAAGAGACUAUGUAUAUGCUUGUACAAUAAAUAUAUUCUGAUUCGCUUGUUCACUUUUCUGCUGUUUUUUUGUACCUUAUUCUAUAAAGGCUUUGAAGCAGUAAACAAGACAGGAAGAAUAACUCAUAAAACUUUCUCCAAGAAUAACUCAUGACAUUGAGAAACUCUUCUCCAUUCGGACCAUGACCAACAUCAUGACUCUGCAGCUUAAGAAGAAAAAAAUCAAAAAAUAAAUGCCAACGAUAUCUGAAGGCUCAAAAGGUAUAUUAAUUUUGAAAGUUUUAUCAAAUUCAUUCUAAGAACGCAAUACUUGCUGGUAAUAAUCCCACAUCGUACAAAUAUGACAUUACAAAACCAUAAACUGUAGCUAUGUUACAUGUCUAUAUUAUUCCGCCUUCAAGAAGUGGAUCAUCACAAGCCAAGCUAUUUCAGGCAUGGGAAUCAUGAGAUGUG